AACGCACCUUGCGCCCUUUGGCUAUUCCGAAGGGCAUGCCUGUUUGAGUAUCAUGAACACCUCAACUCUCAUGGCUUUGCCAUGAUGAGCUUGGACUUUGGGGGUCUUGCUGGCCUGUGGGUCGGCUCCUCUCAAAUGAAUUAGCUUGCCAGUGUUUGGUGGCAUCACGGGUGUGAUAACUAUCUACGCUUGUGGUUUUCCACCAGGUAACCUUCAGUGAUGAAGGUUCGCUGGGGCUCAUAAACGUCUCUCCUCAGCGAGGACAGCUCUUUGAACGUUUGAUCUCAAAUCAGGUAGGACUACCCGCUGAACUUAA
rnacentral:misc_RNA from 1 species